GCCUAACACAUGCAAGUCGAGCGACGAACCAGGGCUUGCCCUGGGGCAAAGCCGCGAACGGGUGAGUAACACGUGGGUAACCUGCCUCGAUGAUCGGGACAACCCGGGGAAACCCGGGCUAAUACCGAAUGUGCCCUCCCCACAUCAGUGGGGUGUGUAAAGGAAGCUUCGGCCUCCGCUUCGAGAUGGGCCCGCGGCCCAUUAGCUUGUUGGUGGGGUAACGGCCUACCAAGGCAUCGAUGGGUAGCUGGUCUGAGAGGACGAUCAGCCACACUGGGACUGAGACACGGCCCAGACUCCUACGGGAGGCAGCAGUGGGGAAUCUUGCGCAAUGCGCGAAAGCGUGACGCAGCAACGCCGCGUGAGGGAAGACGGCCUUAGGGUUGUAAACCUCUUUCAGUUGGGACGAAGGCCGGCACGUGAACAGCGUGUCCGGUUGACGGUACCUUCACAAGAAGCCCCGGCUAACUACGUGCCAGCAGCCGCGGUAAU
rnacentral:rRNA from 1 species